UAAGGAAUAUUGGACAAUGGAGGCAACUCUGAUCCAGCCAUGCCGCGUGAAGGAAUAAGGCCCUAUGGGUUGUAAACUUCUUUUAGACGGGACAAAACCCCUUUACGUGUAAAGGGUUGAUGGUACUGUCAGAAUAAGCAUCGGCUAACUUCGUGCCAGCAGCCGCGGUAAUACGAAGGAUGCAAGCGUUAUCCGGAAUUAUUUGGUUUAAAGGGUGCGUAGGCGGACUAAUAAGUCAGUGGUGAAAGCCUGCAGCUUAACUGCAGAAUUGCCAUUGAUACUGUUAGUCUUGAGUACAGUUGAGGUAGGCGGAAUGUGUCAUGUAGCGGUGAAAUGCUUAGAUAUGACACAGAACACCGAUUGCGAAGGCAGCUUGCUAAGCUGUAACUGACGCUGAGGCACGAAAGCGUGGGGAGCAAACA
rnacentral:rRNA from 1 species